rnacentral:rRNA from 1 species
UACGGAGGAUGCGAGCGUUAUCCGGAUUUAUUGGGUUUAAAGGGUGCGUAGGCGGUCUGUUAAGUCAGCGGUAAAAGCCCGGGGCUCAACUCCGGCCUGCCGUUGAAACUGGCAGGCUAGAGACGGCGAGAGGUAUGCGGAAUGCGCAGUGUAGCGGUGAAAUGCAUAGAUAUUGCGCAGAACUCCGAUUGCGAAGGCAGCAUACUGGCGCCGGACUGACGCUGAGGCACGAAAGCGUGGGGAUCAAACAGG